rnacentral:rRNA from 1 species
CCCUUAGAUGUUCUGGGCCGCACGCGCGCUACACUGAUGCAUUCAACAAGUUUUACCUUGGCCGAGAGGCCUGGGAAAUCUUUCAAAUAUGUAUCGUGAUAGGGAUAGAUUAUUGCAAUUAUUAAUCUUGAACGAGGAAUUCCUAGUAAAUGCAGAUCAUCAUUCUGCGUUGAUUACGUCCCUGCCCUUUGUACACACCGCCCGUCGCACCUACCGAUUGAAUGAUCCGGUGAAGCCACGGGAUUGUGCCCAGAGAACUUUAUUGUGAUUUGGGUGUGAGAACUUGUCUAAACCUUAUCAUUUAGAGGAAGGUGAAGUCGUAACA